ACACUGCUGAAGAGUUCAACAAUAGGACGAAACGGAUGUCCAGUGA
rfam:Schistosoma curassoni strain Dakar, Senegal genome assembly, scaffold: SCTD_scaffold0000832